rnacentral:rRNA from 1 species
AUUGAACGCUGGCGGCAUGCCUUACACAUGCAAGUCGAACGGUAACAGGUCUUCGGAUGCUGACGAGUGGCGAACGGGUGAGUAAUACAUCGGAACGUGCCUAGUAGUGGGGGAUAACUACUCGAAAGAGUGGCUAAUACCGCAUGAGAUCUACGGAUGAAAGCAGGGGAUCGCAAGACCUUGUGCUACUAGAGCGGCCGAUGGCAGAUUAGGUAGUUGGUGGGAUAAAAGCUUACCAAGCCGACGAUCUGUAGCUGGUCUGAGAGGACGAUCAGGCACACUGGGACUGAGACACGGCCCAGACUCCUACGGGAGGCAGCAGUGGGGAAUUUUGGACAAUGGGCGCAAGCCUGAUCCAGCAAUGCCGCGUGCAGGAUGAAGGCCUUCGGGUUGUAAACUGCUUUUGUACGGAACGAAAAGCCCUGGGUUAAUACCCUGGGGUCAUGACGGUACCGUAAGAAUAAGCACCGGCUAACAACGUGCCAGCCGCCGCCGUAAGAC